rnacentral:rRNA from 1 species
CCUACGGGGGGCAGCAGUGAGGAAUAUUGGUCAAUGGACGAGAGUCUGAACCAGCCAAGUAGCGUGAAGGAUGACUGCCCUAUGGGUUGUAAACUUCUUUUAUAUGGGAAUAAAGUGUUCCACGUGUGGGAUUUUGUAUGUACCAUAUGAAUAAGGAUCGGCUAACUCCGUGCCAGCAGCCGCGGUAAUACGGAGGAUCCGAGCGUUAUCCGGAUUUAUUGGGUUUAAGGGGAGCGUAGGUGGAUUGUUAAGUCAGUUGUGAAAGUUUGCGGCUCAACCGUAAAAUUGCAGUUGAAACUGGCAGUCUUGAGUACAGUAGAGGUGGGCGGAAUUCGUGGUGUAGCGGUGAAAUGCUUAGAUAUCACGAAGAACUCCGAUUGCGAAGGCAGUUCACUGGACUGCAACUGACAUUGAGGCUCGAAAGUGUGGGUAUCAAACAGGAUUAGAUACCCGUGUAGUC